UUAAAUUAACCGACUCUCGCAUUAGAUGCUAUAUAUAGAGAGCGACGAUCAAGAAAGAAACACACCGAAAACCUACCUCUCUCUCUCUCCGAUGGCUCCCAAAUCCAAAUCGAAAAGUGCGCUUUCCAAGAGUCUAGUCAAGGAUUUCAAGAGAUCCUCUCUGAGGCUAUUAUGGAGUCCCCACACCAACGCUCUGCUCCAGAAGAUGGCUGCUGAAGCCAGUGGAUCGAGGAAUUUCAACGUCCUCCUGUUUUCUAGCGAGGCGGAGGCGGAGGCGCUGAGCUAUCUCAUUGAGCACUACAACUAGUGAGGGUGAGCGGUGGGUUAGCCAAAGAGGAACAGAGGGCUCUCAAGGACAAGGCAAAAGAGCUCGAUCUUCCUUUGAGGGAGUGAGGGAAGCUUGGUCUUCCUUUGGAGGAGUGAGGGCAGUAGGGUUUAGGUUUGGUCUUACCUUGGAUAUGGAGGGGUGAGUAUAACCUUUUUAGGUUAUGGAGGUUUCUAGGUUUCUUUUAUGUUUUCUUUCUGUUUUUCUUCUUGUAUAGGAUAGGAUGUGGGGUGAGUAUAACCUUUUUUAGGUUUAGGUUAUGGAGGGUGAGUAUAACCUUUUUAAGGUUUAGGUUAUGGAGGGUGAGUAUAACCUUUAGGUUAUGGAGGUUUCUAGGUUUAGCUCUAAUAGCCAGAACUGGGUUUCUUUUAUGUUUUCUUUCUGUUUUGUAUUCUCUAUGCAAGAAAAACAGCCGUUCGUUUGUAUAUCAUUCUUGCUUAUCAAAAAAAUAAAAUAAAAUAAAAUAAAAACAUGCCCUCAUUCUUCACAAAUUUUGUGUUUAAUUUAUGUUCUUGAUUAUGUGUUUACUUUAUGUUCCUGAAUCUGAUGUGUUUAUUUUACUUUAUGUCACUUGAAGUUUUUUUCUUAAAUCAAUGAACUGUGACGGUGCCGUUACCGGCUAUGGGGUUGUUAGGAAUAUUGUUUCUGAGGAGUUGAGAGAGUUCUGGGAGCAACCAGAUGGGCAGGGAACAAACCAUGCUUGGGUUAAUCUGAUAUGGGAGAUGAAAGGUAAAAGAAAAAUAUGUGACUAAAUUUGAUGUGUUAAGUACUUUAGUCCUUUGAAUGUAUAUAUAUCCAGCACUCAUUUAUUGUGACAUAUGAAUAGUAGCAUGAGUAGAGUAUUGGUCACCUCUCAAUGUGUAGUGGAAUUCAUGGUUCAUAAAUUUUUUCUAAUGAAAUUGUUAGAAUUGUCCUGUAUUGAAGGAAAUUAUAUAUGGAAAUCAAUUAGUCAAAGAGUUUUUGGAUAUAUUUGAUGUAAACCAUUACAAGAGCACUUUACAAGCUGAUGUACGUGUUGUAUCAUCUCUUCCUUCCGUGCAUUUGAUGUCAAGGCAGACCAUUGAAAACAAGAUUCCUUAUGAAGUGUUAGUAGGUAGAAUGCUAAUUCAGAAUCGAAGAUGCACUCAUUAUGAUAUUUUCUUUUUCUUAAAAAACAAUUUAUUAGAUACGGGUGCGUGCUAUGCCGGUUGUUCUAGUGGCUCUAGAAGUCAUUCAUAAUCGACCCUUGAAAUACAUUUGAGUCUCACAGAGAGACAAAUUAUUUUCUCCUCAUACUUUUCAAAUUUGAUGGUGCUCUAGUGUUGAAAGGUUCAGAUUCUAAACUCUCAACGAAUCUUCCAUCUGAUCUGCAGAAGCUUCGAUGUAAGGUAUCCUUUCAUGCAUUAAGAUAUGCAGCACCAAUUAGGGAGCUUGAAAAUCAGCCUGCAAGGAGAAUGUGGAUGGAAGGCCCUUUCAUUGCCCUCCAUCUCCGGCUAGAGAAGGAUGUGUGGGUCAGAACUGGAUGUUUCACUGGUUUAGACACAGAAUAUGAUGUCAUCAUCACCAAGGUUCUGGAGUCUCAAACUGAAUACCUGACAGGAAGGUUAAACAUGACCUACAUUCAACGACGACUUGCUGGACCAUGCCCCCUAAAUGCACUAGAAAUGGAAGGCUCGUAAAGGUUCUAGGAGCAUCCGGAAGAGCACGGGUAUACACUGCAGGGGGAGAGCCAUUUGGGAGAAAAAAGGCUCUGCAGCCGCUUGUGGCAGAAUUUGCAAAUGUUGCGACAAAUGAGAAGUUGGCACAAAUGGGAGAACUUUCACAGUACAUUAACAAGUCUUCAGCUCUGGCUGCCAUUGAAUACAUUGUCUCCCUGAACAGCAAUGUCUUUGUACCUUCCCAUGGUGGAAAUAUGGGACGAGCAGUGCAAAAUUCAGGAGCAUCAUGAGGAAACUGCUCAGCAAAUCUCAGGGGCAGCCUGGGAUGAGAGCUAACAGGAGAGAUAGAGAUGUGAUUGCAUACCCAAUACCUGAGUGCCUGUGCAAACACAAAACAGGCAUAUUUUGAAGCAUCUCAAUGAGUAAAUUUGUUCCCUUUUGUUUUGGAGUCUUAUGGUGCUUUGGCCUUAUGGAUUUCUCAUUUUGUGGAGAAGAUAUUGUCCUAGAGGGAUAUCAGAACUACAUUUAUUACAUAAAACAGUGCAAGAUAGCUCUGCAGCUGGGUUUUCCUUAGAGCUUCUAGCAAAUGCAAGAUUUGUUUUUGCAGCUGCAAAGUUAGGCACGGCAGGUGUAAAGGAAUGACAAAGGAAACAAGUUUGCUGCUCCAUUGGGGCUGAUUGCACAAAUUCCUUUUUAGACCACACUGCUAGCAAACGCUGCAUGGUGUCUAAAAGACCACUGAUAUUAUGACCAUUUGUGAGUGAAGUAGCUUCAGGUGGGCAUUCAAGAACAGCAAAUUGAAGGAUCCAUCGCAGGCAACAGAUAGGAAAUAUUUUCCAGUGUAAAAAUUUGUCUACAAACAUGAACCUGAGAAAGAAGAGCUAUGAGUUUAAAACCUGUGAGUAAUAGGAACACAACAGUAAUGUGUUCUCAGAAGAUGGUAAAAAAUAAAAUAAACUAAGUAAAAUGAAUUUGAGCAAUAUUUGAUUUAACUUCAUUUUGCCAGAGAGCCUUAAUCCUCUGUGUAUGAUGAGCUAAUCCAGGAUAGAACAGAUUGGAGAGUUUUGCAUCUCCCAAUUGACAGGUAUUGCAGACAUGGUUUGAGACUUUGAGUUUACUAGCAUUCGCCUAUGAGUUUAAAACCUGUGAGUAAUAGGAACACAACAGUAAUGUGUUCUCAGAAGAUGGUAAAAAAUAAAAUAAACUAAGUAAAAUGAAUUUGAGCAAUAUUUGAUUUAACUUCAUUUUGCCAGAGAGCCUUAAUCCUCUGUGUAUGAUGAGCUAAUCCAGGAUAGAACAGAUUGGAGAGUUUUGCAUCUCCCAAUUGACAGGUAUUGCAGACAUGGUUUGAGACUUUGAGUUUACUAGCAUUCGCCUAUGACUGACACCAUUUGAACACUUAAAUGUGCCCACCUAAAUUGAAUCCAAAAUGUGCACCUGCCAUUCAGGGUUUUGAUAAGAAAAGACAUGGUGUUGACUUGCUUGGUGGAGAUUUUGUUGUCCUGGGGAAACUCAUCCAUAUGCUUGGUAUUUGUAUGAAAUGCACAGCCAUGCACCCAGAAGCAUCUUCAUUGGCUCUCUGUCAUCUCAAUUUGUUAAGAUCCAGGGAGGUAUGCCAUCACAAGGAAGCAUAUGUCAGAAGAGCUGUUCUUUUUGCUGCCUCGUGCAUAUUGGGGGCACUUCAUCCUUCUAAUGUAGCAUCUUCCUUGGUUGAAGGAAAUCUUGAACUUUCUAUUUUGCUUGAAUGGGUGCAUACAUGGGCCCUUCAAUUAGUUGAGUCAGACACAGAUCGAGAGUGCUACACAGUAAGCAAUAAAAGAUGGCUAUGACAUGCCUCCAACUCCAUUAUGAAAUGGCCCUCCAAGCUACCCAAGCACUAGAAUCAGCAGAAAGCACAUUCAAGGCAAAGGCUGUUGUUCUCCCUUCCUACAAAGGGACAAUAAAAUCCCCCAUUCAAUUGUGGAAUUUUAAUUUUAUCUUUUCUUGCAUCGUAGUAUUGUACGGUCUUUUGUUCAAUCACUAGGCGAUAAUUCUAGGCCCGUGAUAUGUAGGAUUAUUGAAAUAUAUAUUUUUCUUAAAUUUGUAUGAUUUUUUUAUACAUAUAGACAGUAAAGUUCUGUGAAUUAUCUAUCACAAAAUUAAACUAUCUUAAUUAAUUU